rnacentral:rRNA from 1 species
UUAUGAUGGCGACCGGCGCACGGGUGCGUAAGGCGUAUGCAACCACCUUUUACAGGGGCAUAACACUGAGAAAUUGGUACUAAUUCCCCAUAAUAUCUGAGACGGCAUCGUUUUGGGUUGAAAACUCCGGUGGUAAAAGAUGGGCAUGCGUUGUAUUAGCUAGUUGGUGAGGUAACGGCUCACCAAGGCGACGAUACAUAGGGGGACUGAGAGGUUAACCCCCCACAUUGGUACUGAGACACGGACCAAACUCCUACGGAAGGCAGCAG